rnacentral:rRNA from 1 species
UACGGGGGGGAGCAAGUGUUAUUCAAUCGGACUGGGCGUAAAGCGUUUUUUAGGUUGUUUUUCGAGUGCUAAUGGCUAAAGUUCAGAGCGUAACUCUGGGAUGUUCAUUAGGACCGUUCUUCUCGAGUCUUUUGAGGGGUUGGUGGUAUUUCUUCAGAAGGGUUAAAAUUCGUAGAAAGAAGAAGGAGCACCGCGGGUGAAGACAACCAACUAGCUUUGACUGACACUAAAAAAACUAAAGCACGGGUAGCAAUUGGG